AUUGAACGCUGGCGGCAGGCCUAACACAUGCAAGUCGAACGAGUGGCGGACGGGUGAGUUAUGUCUGGGAAACUGCCUGAUGGAGGGGGAUAACUACUGGAAACUGUAGAUAAUACCGCAUACCACAACAUGGGCCCAGGUGGGAUUAGCUAGGGGGUGGGGUAAAGGCUCACCAAGGCGACGAUCCCUAGCUGGUCUGAGAGGAUGACCAGCCAAACUGGAACGGAGACACGGUCCAGACUCCUACGGGAGGCGUCAGUGGGGAAUAUUGCACAAUGGGCGCAAGCCUGAUGCAGCCAUGCCGCGUGUAUGAAGAAGGCCUUCGGUUUGUAAAGUACUUUCAGCGGGGAGGCGUUACCCACAGAAUAAGCACCGGCUAACUCCGUGCCAGCAGCCGCGGUAAUAC
rnacentral:rRNA from 1 species